rnacentral:rRNA from 1 species
UGGGGAAUAUUGCACAAUGGGCGCAAGCCUGAUGCAGCCAUGCCGCGUGUAUGAAGAAGGCCUUCGGGUUGUAAAGUACUUUCAGCGAGGAGGAAGGCGGUAAGGUUAAUAACCUUAUCGAUUGACGUUACUCGCAGAAGAAGCACCGGCUAACUCCGUACCAGCAGCCGCGGUAAUACGGAGGGUGCAAGCGUUAAUCGGAAUUACUGGGCGUAAAGCGCACGCAGGCGGUCUGUCAAGUCGGAUGUGAAAUCCCCGGGCUCAACCUGGGAACUGCAUUCGAAACUGGCAGGCUAGAGUCUUGUAGAGGGGGGUAGAAUUCCAGGUGUAGCGGUGAAAUGCGUAGAGAUCUGGAGGAAUACCGGUGGCGAAGGCGGCCCCCUGGACAAAGACUGACGCUCAGGUGCGAAAGCGUGGGGAGCAAACA